UACGUAGGGGGCUAGCGUUGUCCGGAUUUAUUGGGCGUAAAGAGCGUGUAGGCGGCCAGGUAGGUCUGGUGUGAAAACUCGAGGCUCAACCUCGAGAUGUCGGCGGAAACUGUCUGGCUAGAGUCCGGAAGAGGAGAGUGGAAUUCCUGGUGUAGCGGUGAAAUGCGCAGAUAUCAGGAAGAACACCUAUGGCGAAGGCAGCUCUCUGGGACGGUACUGACGCUGAGACGCGAAAGCGUGGGGAGCGAACAGG
rnacentral:rRNA from 1 species